GACUAACGCUGGCGGCGUGCUUAACACAUGCAAGUCGAACGAUGAAGCCCUAGCUUGCUGGGGUGGAAGAGUGGCGAACGGGUGAGUAACACGUGAGUAACCUGCCCUUAACUCUGGGAUAAGCACUGGAAACGGUGUCUAAUACUGGAUAUGACCUCUGGAGGCAUCUUUGGGGGUGGAAAGAUUUAUCGGUUUUGGAUGGACUCGCGGCCUAUCAGCUUGUUGGUGAGGUAAUGGCUCACCAAGGCGACGACGGGUAGCCGGCCUGAGAGGGUGACCGGCCACACUGGGACUGAGACACGGCCCAGACUCCUACGGGAGGCAGCAGUGGGGAAUAUUGCACAAUGGGCGCAAGCCUGAUGCAGCAACGCCGCGUGAGGGAUGACGGCCUUCGGGUUGUAAACCUCUUUUAGUGAGGAAGAAGCGAAAGUGUCGGUACUCACAGAAAAAGCACCGGCUAACUACGUGCCAGCCGCCGCGGUAA
rnacentral:rRNA from 1 species